AGGACGAACGCUGGCGGCGUGCUUAACACAUGCAAGUCGAACGGUGAUCCGAGAGCUUGCUCUCUUUGAGGGCUUGUUCUUGGUGAUCAGUGGCGAACGGGUGAGUAACACGUGAGUAACCUGCCCUCCACUCUGGGAUAACUCCGGGAAACCGGGGCUAAUACUGGAUAUGACGUCCGCCCGCAUGGGCGGAUGUGGAAAGUUUUUCGGUGGGGGAUGGACUCGCGGCCUAUCAGCUUGUUGGUGAGGUAGUGGCUCACCAAGGGCGACGACGGGUAGCCGGCCUGAGAGGGCACCGGGCCAACGACUGGGACUGGAGACACGGCCCAGACUCCUACGGGAGCAGCAGUGGGGAAUAUUGCACAAUGGGCGCAAGGCCUGAUGCAGCGACGCGCGUGAGGAUGACGGCCGUUCGGUGUAACCUCUUUCACCAGGAAGAACGCGCCCAGGUUUUCUGGCGUGACGUCUGGAGAAGAGCACCGGCUAACGUACGUG
rnacentral:rRNA from 1 species